ACAAUGCAAUGGGGAUAAACGCGAGCCGAGAGCGGGGAGGCUGUUGUGGGUGAUUGGCCAUGCAUGCAUAUGUCAGGGAGCUGGGCACCGGAGAGGUGGCUGUACACAGCCGGAGACUGCAGCAGAUAUUCCCCCCCGGGCUGGAGUUCAGAGACAACCCCAGGGAGAUGAGAAACGUGGCCAGGUGGUUGAGAAGGCACCCUGACCAGCUCUGGGGAAACGCCCUUGUGUGUGAAUGGCCACUUCAAAAUAUUGGGCUGCAGAGCUUGAGGCAGCUGAAUGGAACAAACUUCAGGGAGAUUCUCUAGACCACAUCCUUUGAAACAAGGUUGUAAGCACAUGUGCCUUUCUCAGAUUCUGCUGCCAGGAAUAGGGAGAGCAGGAACUCUCAAGUACAACAUGACUGGAACGGGAACUAAAACACAGGUAUUCGGUGACCCUUUCCAGCAGCAGCAAUGAAGAGAAUCUAACAUAGAGGUCUGUGGCUGGCACCAGGAGCUUGGAGGAGGAGG